UACAAUCAUGCAAUUAAAACCUGCAUCUGUGUUCUUUAAUUCAGAAUUUAAGCGGUUACUAUCGUGGAGGAUUUGACACUAAAAUGACAAAAAGGGAAGCAAGUUUAAUAUUUGGUAUCAGUCCAUCUGCAAGUAAAGCAAAGCUACGAGAAGCACACAGAAGAAUUAUGUUACUAAAUCAUCCUGAUAGAGGUGGCUCGCCUUAUAUUGCUGCUAAAAUCAAUGAGGCUAAGGACCUGUUGGAAACCAAACAUCCAAAAUAAACAUUUAACAUCGUGCAAAAGACACUUCAUUUCAAUAUAGCUUUUAUACUAGGAUGAGAAUUUAUUUGAUGUCUAUAUCCAUGAGUGGUUGUUGCAUCCAUCUACCGAUACAUCUGGGUCCUGGUUGCAGUUGAACUCAAGAUGUUUGAAGACUUGAUUCACUAACAGUCUGGACUCUCAACAAAGAAGAUACAUACUAAAUAUAUUGAACAACAGUAAUAAAUAUCUUUUUUUAUACAAU